rnacentral:hammerhead_ribozyme from 1 species
AUCCAUCUGGCGAGUUCAAAAUAGGACGAAACGAUCGUCCUGGAU